UACAGAGGUCCCAAGCGUUGUUCGGAUUCACUGGGCGUAAAGGGUGCGUAGGUGGCCAGGUAAGUUCGGUGUGAAAGCUCGGAGCUCAACUCCGAAAAGUCAUUGAAUACUAUCUGGCUGGAGGGUCGGAGGGGAGACUGGAAUUCUCGGUGUAGCAGUGAAAUGCGUAGAUAUCGAGAGGAACACCAGUGGCGAAGGCGAGUCUCUGGACGACACCUGACACUGAGGCACGAAAGCUAGGGGAGCAAACAGG
rnacentral:rRNA from 1 species